UACGAAGGGGGCUAGCGUUGUUCGGAAUUACUGGGCGUAAAGCGCACGUAGGCGGACUACUAAGUCAGGGGUGAAAUCCCGGGGCUCAACCCCGGAACUGCCUUUGAUACUGAUAGUCUCGAGUCCGGAAGAGGUGAGUGGAAUUCCGAGUGUAGAGGUGAAAAUUCGUAGAUAUUCGGAGGAACACCAGUGGCGAAGGCGGCUCACUGGUCCGGUACUGACGCUGAGGUGCGAAAGCGA
rnacentral:rRNA from 1 species